rnacentral:rRNA from 1 species
ACAAUAGCGAAGGGGUCACACCUGUUCCCAUACCGAACACAGCAGUUAAGCCCUUCAGCGCUGAUGGUACUUGGCGGGAAGCUGCCUGGGAGAGUAGGUCGU